CCCCGCGGCUGUUCCCCACCGGAGCCGCUCCAUCUGGUUGCUCGACCACAAGCUGCCCCCUGGAUUUUAAGGAUUUUAAGAAAUUGAAGUCACUGGCUGAUGCCUCGGCUAUCCUGCCGUGCUUUCCCCCGCCCCGGGCCCCGCCAGCUCCUGCCCCGGCCGCCCGUCAGCCUCGGCCGAGAGCGGCCUGAGCGCGUCUGCAGCCGGACCGGGGCCGAGCCUGGAUCUGCAGCCGGACCGGGGCCGAGCCUGGAUCUGCAGCCGGACCGGGGCCGAGCNUGGAUCUGCAGCCGGACCGGGGCCGAGCUUGGAUCUACAGCCGGACCGGGGCCGAGCCUGGAUCUGCAGCCGGACCCGCGUCCGAGCUUGGAUCUAUAGCCGGACCCGCGUCCGAGCUUGGAUCUCCAGCCAGAUCCGCGUCCGAGCCUUGGGUCUGCAGCCGCGCCGCCCCACAGGAGCCUCGGCAGCCUGCUGGCUUUGUCCUGCCCCCCUGCUUCCCACAAAAGGCUCAGCUUCACUCGUCCUGCCAAGGACAGGGUGUAACAUCGCUCUGCAUCUUCUUCCAGCCGACUUGUAUGUGGAGGCUUCCCGGGCAGAGAGGUGGCCUGUCAAAGAAGCAUUUCUCCCUUCGAUCAUUAGAAUGGCCUGUGCCAAACUUCCUCAAUUCCCUAGAUGACACUUGGCGUUUGUGCUGCGGCUCACGGGUGGCAGGCACAUAGUUUAAAAAAUACAUCUUCCAGCAAUUUGUUGCCCGAGCUGGUGCUUCCCCAGUCUUUCCUGAUGCCCGAAUUUUGUGUUUUUACUUCAGCCCCCAGCUGCCAUGGGACAGACUUUGUGAAAUUAUUUGGUUUAAUGAGCAAAUACUAACUUUUCAUAAUCAGCACCACAAACGGAGAUUUCUUUGGCAAUCUCAUCAGAACAGUAGCAAAUGAAUGACCAGGCAACUGAAUUUAAUCUCUCUCCAACUGGGAAGGGUGUAUACUUUACUCCUGUUUUAUGGAAAUAGAGCUUCAGUUUCCAGAGCCAUUAACCACAACUGUUACAUGUAAUUCAAAAAUAUUUAAAGGGCUGUGAAAACAAGAUGUACAUGAUUUUGUAAUAUUUUAAUUUAUAUACCUUGAUUAAUAUAAGUUACAGGCAAAUAAAAACCAUUGUAGUAUCCA
rnacentral:lncRNA from 1 species